GGUUGCUGGAGAGCAGAGAGGGAAGCGUCAUGAUGGAAAUGGAGUUUGCCCAGCUGUGGCCAUUGGCUUUUGAAGGUGAAGAAGAGGUUCUUUAGUAAAGAAUGCAGACAGUUUCUAGCAACCAGGGAAAGCAAGUAAAUGGUUUCUAGAAACCAGGGAAAGCAAGUAAACAGUUUCUACCCUGGGACUUCCAUGAGUGAAGCUAUUCCCACCAACACUAUGGUUUCACCAUGAGACCUGUUUGGACUUCUGGUUCCUAUAACUGUCAUUUGUACUUGGAAUACAGAACAAAAUCCUUGUUGCUUCAUGGGAGAAUGACUGUGUAAGAGUGAACCACGAAAGGUGCAUUGUCUGCUUUGUUAAGAAGAAAAAAGAGGCACCAUCCUAAUCGUGAGUCAUUCUUCCCCUGGAACAGGAAGAGAUUCCUUCUAUUCAGCGGGCACUCAGGGCUCAUCACAGUCCACAAGGCACAGCGGUGGGCAGUAAUUACCGUCUCUUUCCCAUUCAGCUGUCACACCAUCUAUUCCUCCAUUUGAGCCUUUCAUUCUUGCUCCAUGCAGAGGCCUUAGUGGCUUCCCUUCUGGCUCAGCUGGUAAAGAAUCCACCUGCAAUGUGGGAGACUUGGG